rnacentral:rRNA from 1 species
ACGCUGGCGGCGUGCCUAAUACAUGCAAGUAGAACGCUGAAGGAGGAGCUUGCUUCUCCGGAUGAGUUGCGAACGGGUGAGUAACGCGUAGGUAACCUGCCUGGUAGCGGGGGAUAACUAUUGGAAACGAUAGCUAAUACCGCAUAAGAGUAGAUGUUGCAUGACAUUUGCUUAAAAGGUGCAAUUGCAUCACUACCAGAUGGACCUGCGUUGUAUUAGCUAGUUGGUGGGGUAACGGCUCACCAAGGCGACGAUACAUAGCCGACCUGAGAGGGUGAUCGGCCACACUGGGACUGAAACACGGCCCAAACUCCUACGGGAGGCAGCAGUAGGGAAUCUUCGGCAAUGGACGGAAGUCUGACCGAGCAACGCCGCGUGAGUGAAGAAGGUUUUCGGAUCGUAAAGCUCUGUUGUAAGAGAAGAACGAGUGUGAGAGUGGAAAGUUCACACUGUGACGGUAUCUUACCAGAAAGGGACGGCUAACUACGUGCCAGCAGCCGCGGUAAUACGUAGGUCCCGAGCGUUGUCCGGAUUUAUUGGGCGUAAAGCGAGCGCAGGCGGUUAGAUAAGUCUGAAGUUAAAGGCUAUGGCUUAACCAUAGUACGCUUUGGAAACUGUUUAACUUGAGUGCAAGAGGGGAGAGUGGAAUUCCAUGUGUAGCGGUGAAAUGCGUAGAUAUAUGGAGGAACACCGGUGGCGAAAGCGGCUCUCUGGCUUGUAACUGACGCUGAGGCUCGAAAGCGUGGGGAGCAAACAGGAUUAGAUACCCUGGUAGUCCACGCCGUAAACGAUGAGUGCUAGGUGUUAGACCCUUUCCGGGGUUUAGUGCCGCAGCUAACGCAUUAAGCACUCCGCCUGGGGAGUACGACCGCAAGGUUGAAACUCAAAGGAAUUGACGGGGGCCCGCACAAGCGG